rnacentral:lncRNA from 1 species
CUCAACCUAAUGUAAAUACAUACUUAUGUUGGCCAACCACAAUUUGCACUUCCUUCUCUAUUCUGGUGUCACUCUAACCCUAAAAUUUUUAGCUCCUCUACUCCUUUCUCUCUACCACUGCAUCUCACCUUUCCCCAUGUGCUCUCAUCUUUUAUUUUUCCUUUCUUUUCUCCCUAAGUGUCGCCGCUUGCCCCCACCAUCAUAGGGUCGUCGUCCUCUUUUCUUUCCCAUUCCCAUCGUCGCACAUUGCACCACCAUUAAGCGAUUGUUUUCUUUUCUUUUCUUCCUAAAAUUGCCUACUUUACACUGUCGAUCUCUUCUUAUUUCUUUUUAUCAUUGCCACAACUACCACAUUGGUAGACUGUUGUGUUUCUUCCUUCUUCUUUUUUUCUUGUUUUUGCUUACCACACCUUUGAACCAUCAAACUUCUUGAUUAUUACCUUGUUGCUGCUGCCUCUACUAAUAUUCGGGCUGCCGAUUUUCCUUCCCUCAUUGUAGGAUUCCUUAUUCACUCGAUACACUAUUCAUGAUUAGAUCCAUAGUCUUUAGCAACAAAUCGGUAAGUUAUACAUUUGUAUUGGUUAGACAUUAAUUCCUAGAAAUUUAAUUGAAUUGUUGUUCUUUCUUCUUUUCAGUUUAAUCGAUUACAUUUAGAUCUAACCAAAACUUUGUCAAUUGGUUCUAACAUUAAGUGGUUUUGUGUGAACGAUGUUAAAGGGCCAAAUCUGGGAGAGGCAGAUCAGAUUUGAACUUGAGGAGUGUCGAACAAACUAGUAGCGAAGGUGUGUGUUUUGACUAAUGUUGUCGUGUGUGUGUGUCAACAUUCGGCCGAAUGUAUACGUGCUUCCCUUGUGAUUUUUGGUUGUUAAUGUCAUAUCUUGAUGAUGAUUAAAUGUUUCUAAUGGCUUCGAUUUUUCUAAGUAACCCUAGAUCUGAUCUAAAAAUAAACUUUGAUCUGGUAUUGAAAAAUCAUCGAUUCAAUUCAGUGGGUAAUGAAACUGUGUACGGAAGAUCUAAUUUUUGUAUGCUACCAUUUUUCUGAAUUGUUAUGUUGAUCAUGUAUGUGAUGUCAAAUUUGUGUUUAAUCUACCAUUGCUACUGAUGCAUGUUUACUGCUACUGUUAAAAUUACAAAUCAUUACUGAAUGCAUGAAAGUUGUAUGUCAAUACUGCUAUUGUUACUAUUUUUUGAUUUGUAAAAACAUGUCAUAAUAUUGCAUUGGGAUUGGGAUAUUGAAGGUGGAAAUACAGGCUCUAAAUGCCGGAUUGUUUCGCCGAUCAAAACUAUUAUUAUACUAGCAGUUCAUCCAAAAAAUAUUAUUUUGGCGUGUAGGGAUGGAUGAGUUAUGGGGGAACUCUUACUGUGAAGUGUGGCCGAUGCUUGGGUAUAGAGGUGCUCAUGGGCCGGGCCGGGCCCAGAAAAAUUUUGGCCCGGGUCCUAGGCUCGGGCCCGGCCCGAAAUAUGGGCUUAGAAUUUUGCCCAGGCCCGGCCCGGGAAAAAAUUCAUAAGCCCAGGCCCGGCCCGGCCCGUUUUUUAAAUAAAUACCAAAAAUUUAUUUUAAAAAUUAAAACAAAAAUUAAAAAAAUAUUUUAAAAUUAAAAAAAUUAAAAAGUAUUUUUAAAAAAAUUAAAAUUUUAAAAAAGUAUUUAAAAAAAGUAUUUUAAAAGUAUUUCAAAAGCAUUUUAAAAUUAAAAAAUUUAAAAAAUAAAAAUAUUUAUUAUAUUCGGGCCGGGCCCGGGCCAAAAAAGUGGUGCCUGAGGCCCGGCCUGUUUUUUAAUCGGGCCUCAUUUUUUUGCCCAAGCCCAUAUUUCGGGCCUAUAUUUUUACCCAAACCCUCCCAUAUUUCGGGCGGGCCGUCGGGCCGGGCGGCACCUCUAGUUGGGUAGGAAAUUAUAUUGUUAUCCAUGCAUAUUGUAUUUUUACUGAAAAUUACCAUGAGAUUAGUAUUCUGACAUGAUCUAUUUUCUAUGUGCUUGUAAGCAAUAAUUUAUGCUUAUGUGUUUAUUUGUUCCUAUGUUAAGACCACACUAAGCUUCAUAGCUCACUCUUUAGUUUUUCCCAACUUUUUAGAUAACUUGUGAGGUUAGGACUCGGACUCGGUAUUCGGAGCACUGUCAUCAUUUUUCCCUUAAAAACAUAUUUCUAAAUUGUUUUAUCAGUUCUUUUGGGUUUUGCACUGUUUUAAACGGGCUAUGGCAUAGACUUUAUUAAUUAUUUGGGUGUUUAAUUUGGGGAUUUGGCAUUAUAUGUUUUUGAUGAUAUACUUAAACAUGAAUAAGGUUUUCAAGAUUUUAUUUUAAAUUAUUUUAAAAUGGUGCAAAUAUGAUUUUUCCUAUCAACUUUGGAACUAAAAUCAAAACGAAUGAGAUAAAUAAAAUAAGCCAAUGUUUUCUUAAGA